UAUGUGUUCCGCACUAAGACGCUACACGUAAGGGAGGGAUGCCUCCGUGGAGGACUUUCUAAGGGAAACUGACUCGUAUUACAUUCCUUGGAUCGUACCUUACUACUUGGAUAGCUGUGGCAAUUCAAGAGCUAAUACAUGCAGCAGAGCUCCGACCCCCUGGGAACGAGCGUUUUUAUUAGACCAAAACCAAUCGGACCUUGUGCCCGUAUUAUGUGGUGAUCUGUAUAACUUUGGGCUGAUUGCACGGGCUCGUCCCGGCGACGUAUCUUUCAGGUGUCUGCCUUAUCAACUGUCGAUGGUAGGUUACGCGCCUACCUUGGUCGUAAUGAGUGACCGGGAAUCAGGGUUCGAUUCCGGAGAGGGAGCCUGAGAAACGGCUACCACAACCAAGGAAGGCGGCAAGCCCGCAAAUUACCCACUCCCAAAACGGGGAGGUAUUGAUGAAAAAUAACAAUACGGGACUCUUUUGAGACCCCGUAAUUGGAAUGAGUACACUCUAAAUCCUUUAACGAGGACCAAUUGGAGGGCAAGUCUGGUGCAAACAGCCGCGGUAUAGUUCGACCGUCUCAAAGGCAACCUUGGCUGGCCUUCUGCCAAAACACCUAGACUCGUCCAAAAGGGGCGUUAUUACUUGCUGCGAAGUGAAAGCCUUCUGUCCUCAGGAAAGAGAGAAUGGAGAGAAAAGAAGUCCCCAUCCUUCCCCCCCUAUUUUGAGAAUAAUUCGGUCCGAAUGGCGCAUACGUGUUUACGCUCAUGGGCGUGGAUGAGGCGAUCGAACUAUAAUUCCAGCUCCAAUAGCGUAUAUUAAAUUUGUUGCGGUUAAAAAACUUGUAGUUGGAUCUCAGUCAUGGGGAAAACCACGAAAACGCCUAUGCAGCUAGACUGCUCGCGGGAUUCGAACCUCAGACCGAACUGCCAGUGUUCAGCGACUUUACCGCUCGGCCGUUUUGGGGCGCUGCUGAAAGUAGCUUGUAGAUGUUAUACCGUUUUAGAUGUGAUACCCCCAUAAGGAGUUAGCCCCCCUAGCAAAUAACAGUUAAAGCUAAUAAACUGAAAUAUGCGUGGUUUGAAUCCCGGCGAGGGCAUAGUUAGUUUUUUCUGCUUGAGAAGGAAUGUCCCAGAAGGGGGGAAGAAGGGUCAUCAAAAAAAUUUAGACAAAGCUUUUUGGAAUGUAUAAUUCAAAAUAUAAAAAUAAAAGCUAAUUUCAAACCUGUAAAACUUUUGAAUGAGAUAAAUUUAAACCAAGCAACAUUUACUGUCUUUUCUAUAAAAAGUAGUUAUUAAAUUAUGCAGCGUCUAUAACCGAAAAAUUUUAAUAAGAAAUUAUCAACUCAAAAAAUAUAUUCCGAUGUAUUUUUAGCAUUU
rnacentral:ncRNA from 1 species